rnacentral:rRNA from 1 species
UACGUAGGGGGCUAGCGUUGUCCGGAAUCAUUGGGCGUAAAGCGCGUGUAGGCGGUCCGGUAAGUCCGCUGUGAAAGUCGGGGGCUCAACCCUCGAAUGCCGGUGGAUACUGUCGGGCUAGAGUGCGGAAGAGGCGAGUGGAAUUCCUGGUGUAGCGGUGAAAUGCGCAGAUAUCAGGAGGAGCACCAAUUGCGAAGGCAGCUCGCUGGGACGUUACUGACGCUGAGACGCGAAAGCGUGGGGAGCGAACAGG